rnacentral:rRNA from 1 species
CCUACGGGAGGCAGCAGUGAGGGAUAUUGGUCAAUGGGGGGAACCCUGAACCAGCAACGCCGCGUGAGGGAAGAAGGUUCUCGGCUUGUCAACCCCUGUCCUCUGUGAAGAUAAUGACGGUAGCAGAGGAGGAAGCUCCGGCUAACUACGUGCCAGCAGCCGCGGUAAUACGUAGGGAGCAAGCGUUGUCCGGAUUUACUGGGUGUAAAGGGUGCGUAGGCGGCCCUGCAAGUCAGCAGUUAAAUCCAUGGGCUUAACCCGUGAACUGCUUUUGAAACUGGGGGGCUUGAGUGCAGGAGAGGCAGGCGGAAUGCCCGGUGUAGCGGUGAAAUGCGUAGAGAUCGGGAGGAACACCAGUGGCGAAGGCGGCCUGCUGGGCUGUAACUGACGCUGAGGCACGAAAGCGUGGGGAGCGAACAGGAUUAGAUACCCGUGUAGUC